rnacentral:sRNA from 1 species
UACUAGCUAUGACGGAGCCCAGAUAAAUU